rnacentral:rRNA from 1 species
CUCGUGUCGUGAGAUGUUGGGUUAAGUCCCGCAACGAGCGCAACCCUUGACCUUAGUUGCCAGCAUUCAGUUGGGCACUCUAAGGUGACUGCCGGUGACAAACCGGAGGAAGGUGGGGAUGACGUCAAAUCAUCAUGCCCCUUAUGACCUGGGCUACACACGUGCUACAAUGGAUGGUACAAAGGGCUGCGAGACCGCGAGGUUAAGCCAAUCCCAGAAAACCAUUCCCAGUUCGGAUUGCAGGCUGCAACCCGCCUGCAUGAAGCCGGAAUCGCUAGUAAUCGCGGAUCAGCAUGCCGCGGUGAAUACGUUCCCGGGCC